GGCGACCGGCGCACGGGUGAGUAACACGUAUCCAACCUGCCGAUAACUCGGGGAUAGCCUUUCGAAAGAAAGAUUAAUACCCGAUGGUAUAAUCAGACCGCAUGGUUUGAUUAUUAAAGAAUUUCGGUUAUCGAUGGGGAUGCGUUCCAUUAGGCAGUUGGUGAGGUAACGGCUCACCAAACCUUCGAUGGAUAGGGGUUCUGAGAGGAAGGUCCCCCACAUUGGAACUGAGACACGGUCCAA
rnacentral:rRNA from 1 species